rnacentral:rRNA from 1 species
AUUGAACGCUGGCGGCAUGCUUUACACAUGCAAGUCGAACGGCAGCGCGGGCCUCGGCCUGGCGGCGAGUGGCGAACGGGUGAGUAAUACAUCGGAACGUGCCCAGUAGUGGGGGAUAGCUCGGCGAAAGCCGGAUUAAUACCGCAUACGACCUGAGGGUGAAAGCGGGGGAUCUUCGGACCUCGCGCUAUUGGAGCGGCCGAUGGCAGAUUAGCUAGUUGGUGGGGUAAAGGCCUACCAAGGCGACGAUCUGUAGCUGGUCUGAGAGGACGACCAGCCACACUGGGACUGAGACACGGCCCAGACUCCUACGGGAGGCAGCAGUGGGGAAUUUUGGACAAUGGGCGAAAGCCUGAUCCAGCAAUGCCGCGUGUGUGAUGAAGGCCUUCGGGUUGUAAAGCACUUUUGGCGGGAACGAAAAGGACUGUGCCAAUACCACGGUUUGAUGACGGUACCCGCAGAAUAAGCACCGGCUAACUACGUG